rnacentral:rRNA from 1 species
AAGGCAAGCGGAUCUCUUAAAGCCGUUCUCAGUUCGGACUGUAGGCUGCAACUCGCCUACACGAAGCUGGAAUCGCUAGUAAUCGCGGAUCAGCACGCCGCGGUGAAUACGUUCCCGGGCCUUGUACACACCGCCCGUCACACCAUGAGAGUCUGUAACACCCAAAGCCGGUGGGAUAACCUUUAUAGGAGUCAGCCGUCUAAGGUAGGACAGAUGAUUAGGGUGAAGUCGUAACAAGGUACC